AGCGAACGCUGGCGGCAGGCCUAACACAUGCAAGUCGAACGAACCUUUCGGGGUUAGUGGCGGACGGGUGAGUACCACGUGGGAACGUGCCUUUAGGUUCGGUAUCACUCAGGGAAACUUGUGCUAAUACCGAAUGUGCCCUUCGGGGGUAAGAUGUAUCGCCUUUGGAGCGGCCCGCGUCUGAUUCGCUAGUUGGUUGAGGUAAUGGCACACCACGGCGACGAGCAGGAGCUGGUCGGUGCGGAGGAUCAGCCACGUUGGGACUGAGACACGGCCCAAACUGCGACGGGAGGCAGCAGAGGAGAAUCUUGCGCAAUGGGGGAAAGCCUGACGAAGCCAUGCCGGGUGAAUGAGGAAGGGCUUAGGAUUGUAAAAUUCUUUCAGAGGGGGCGAUAAUGACGGUACCCGGAGAAGAAGCCCCGGCUAACUACGUG
rnacentral:rRNA from 1 species